rnacentral:rRNA from 1 species
UACGUAGGGUCCGAGCGUUGUCCGGAAUUAUUGGGCGUAAAGAGCUCGUAGGCGGUUUGUUGCGUCGGCUGUGAAAUCCCGAGGCUCAACCGUGUGGUCUGCAGUCGAUACGGGCAGGCUAGAGUUCGGUAGGGGGAGACUGGAAUUCCUGGUGUAGCGGUGAAAUGCGCAGAUAUCAGGAGGAACACCGGUGGCGAAGGCGGGUCUCUGGGCCGAUACUGACGCUGAGGAGCGAAAGCGUGGGGAGCGAACAGG